CUUUUAAGAGUUACUAUUUCUCGGCUUGGCGCAGGGAAGUAUAAAUGUAAAGCAAGUUUGGAAUUAAAAAGAGGUGAUGGGGAAUGUGAUUGCAUUCCAACAUUAACCUGUCAUUGUCUCUUGCUGGAAGCAAGUCCGUUGGACCGAGUCGGAUUCGCAUUUAGUUUUAUUUACUCAAAUAAUUUAAUUAUUCUAUUUUAUUAAUAUAUUCUAAGUAUUAAAUAACGUAUGUAAAUUGUAUAAUGCAUUGCACGUGAUAUCAAAGGAAAAAAAAAGGUAAAGUAAGACUGGCUAGUAUAUUGUUAUUGUUAUUUACUACAUAUGUGUCAGUCGUAUGCAUAAAUAUUAAAUUACAAAAUAACUUCUAGCUGGAAAAGUAGCCCAUUUUUUUUGUUUUUGUUUUUGUUUUUUUGUCAUAUGUAGAUUAUAUUAGAUAAUGAUCCAAGUUCCACCCUAUUACAUCAAGUCAAUCAAGUGGGCAUUAGGGCAUAUUCAUCCCAACUCCAUUUUUUCCUCUAAAAUAGAGUAAAAGUGUAUAUGGAGUAAGGAAUGCUCCAACCCAACUCCAUAUCUCAUUCAAUAAUGAAAUUUACUCCAUAAAUGGAAUAGUUUAUUUUUUGUUUGUUCAUCACUUCAUAAUAGAGUGAGAAAUGGAGUAGGGUUGUACCAAUUUUACUCCAUUUUUACUUUUACUCCAUUUUGAAGGAAAAAAUGGAGUUUUACAUUGGAGAUGCUCUUACAACAACCCGCCCUUAGAAGCCAUACCAAAAAAUUGCCAAGCAAGGAGCCCACUUUUUUUGUUUUGAAACACAGAUAAUUAACAAGCCUAACUAAUUUAUAAAAGGGGAAAGAACAGUCUUGGGACUCUUCACUACGUUUUCAAAGAGUCUUUCGUGUGACCAUAGAGUCCUUUUAAUUUCAAGGAUAAUAAAAUCGAUAAAAACAGAUGGUCAUAAAGCAAAUAUCAACAUUGGAGGUUACGCCGUCGACGGUUGCCGUGAGUUUAUGGCCGCCGGCGAGGAAGGAACCGUCAAUGCUUCGAGAUGCGCCGCUUGUUAUUGUCACCGGAAUUUUCACCGGAAGGAAGUCGAUACGGAGGUUGUUUGAUGCCUAAAGAGUUUUAAACUCAUUAAGUUCAACCGCAAAGGCUACCAAUCAUCAGGUGUGGAGAUCAUGUUGACUAAUUCUUGGAAAUCAGUAACAAAAUAAUCACAGAACCGUUGAUGGCGAGAUAAACAUUUCAAUACCCAUACUAAACUCUUUAGUUCAGUAUGCAGUUGUGAAAUUUGUUUGUAGCAACCUUGGAGGCCAAGUAGAUCUAUUGAUCCAUCUUGAAAAGCUGUAAAAUCCAUCCUACUCCACUCGUGGUUCCAAACAACGUAUAUUUAUAGAUUUAGCUUUUGAAUCUUAAUAUAGUUCAUAUGAAUGAGUGGCAUUUGUGAUACUAUGAUGGUUUAUAAUUAUAUGAUCGAACCUGGAUUUGAUUUUAAUUUGGAGAAUAAUAUUGAAUUUGUUUCAUA